rnacentral:rRNA from 1 species
CGGGACGGGUGAGUAAUGUCUGGGAAACUGCCUGAUGGAGGGGGAUAACUACUGGAAACGGUAGCUAAUACCGCAUAACGUCGCAAGACCAAAGAGGGGGACCUUAGGGCCUCUUGCCAUCGGAUGUGUCCAGAUGGGAUUAGCUAGUAGGUGGGGUAACGGCUCACCUAGGCGACGAUCCCUAGCUGGUCUGAGAGGAUGACCAGCCACACUGGAACUGAGACACGGUCCAG